rnacentral:rRNA from 1 species
GGCUAACGCUGGCGGCGUGUCUUAGCCAUGCAAGUCGAGCGGACUUAUGGGGUAACUUAUAAGUCAGCGGCGGACGGCGGAGUAACACGUAGCUAACCUACCCUCUGGACGGGGAUAACCUACCGAAAGGUGGGCUAAUACCCGAUGUAGUCAUCCUGUAUAGGGGUGAUGAAAGGUGGGCUUCUGUUUACAAGCUCAUGCUGGAGGAGGGGGCUGCGGCCUAUCAGGUAGUUGGUAGGGUAAUAGCCUACCAAGCCGAUGACGGGUAGCCGGCCUGAGAGGGUGACCGGCCCGAGGGGCACUGAGAUACGGGUCCCACUCCUACGGGAGGCAGCAGGCUAGAAAUUUGGGCAAUGGGGGAAACCCUGACCCAGUGACGCCGCGUGCAGGAAGGAGCCCUUCGGGGUGUAAACUGCUGUCGUGUAGGGAGAAGGGUACUAAGGUGAACAAUCUUAGUACUUGACGGUACUACAGGAGGAAGCCCAGGCUAACCUCGUGCCAGCAGCCGCGGUAAAAGUAUCUAU